rnacentral:rRNA from 2 species
CCUACGGGAGGCAGCAGUGGGGAAUAUUGGACAAUGGGCGAAAGCCUGAUCCAGCCAUGCCGCGUGUGUGAAGAAGGUCUUCGGAUUGUAAAGCACUUUAAGUUGGGAGGAAGGGCAGUUACUUAAUACGUGAUUGUUUUGACGUUACCGACAGAAUAAGCACCGGCUAACUCUGUGCCAGCAGCCGCGGUAAU